rnacentral:ncRNA from 1 species
AUUCGGCUGUAAGUUAAUUGCAGCUUCCACAGGUGACUGUGGUUGAAAAACCGGGUGAACUCAGAAAACCCUAAACCGGCAGCAAGCUGGCAAGGCAAUCCUGAGCGAAGCCUGCUGAAAGGCGAGUGCUACGGCACAAACGGUAAGCAGGAACGUGCAGAGACUCAGGGGUUGAGGAAGCCAACCAAUAAAACCCCCGCGAGCGCCCGGCAACUCUCUUUCGGGAGAGUUGAUGAGAUAGUCCGCCCCUGUGUGAAAACACAGG